rnacentral:rRNA from 1 species
AUUGAACGCUGGCGGCAGGCCUAACACAUGCAAGUCGAGCGGAUGAAAGGGGCUUGCUCCUGGAUUCAGCGGCGGACGGGUGAGUAAUGCGCAGGAAUCUACCUAGUAGUGGGGGAUAACGUUUCGAAAGGAACGCUAAUACCGCAUACGUUCUGAGGAAGAAAGCAGGGGAUCGUAAGACCUUGCGCUAUUAGAUGAGCUUGCGUCCGAUUAGCUAGUUGGUGGGGUAAAUGCUUACCAAGGCAAUGAUCUGUAGCUGAUUUUAGAAGAUGAUCAGCCACACUGGGAUUGAGAUACGGCCCAGACUCCUACGGGAGGCAGCAGUGGGGAAUCUUGGACAAUGGGCGCAAGCCUGAUCCAGCAAUGCCGCGUGUGUGAAGAAGGCCUUAGGGUUGUAAAACACUUUCAGCAAUGAAGAAGCAUUUCGACAGUAAUACAGUUGUUGUGUUGACGUUAAUUG